rnacentral:rRNA from 1 species
CCUACGGGUGGCUGCAGUGGGGAAUAUUGGACAAUGGGGGCAACCCUGAUCCAGCCAUGCCGCGUGUGUGAAGAAGGCCCUCGGGUUGUAAAGCACUUUCAGUGAGGAAGAACGCCUGGUGGUUAAUACCCAUCAGGAAAGACAUCACUCACAGAAGAAGCACCGGCUAACUCCGUGCCAGCAGCCGCGGUAAUACGGAGGGUGCGAGCGUUAAUCGGAAUUACUGGGCGUAAAGCGCGCGUAGGUGCUUGAUAAGCCGGUUGUGAAAGCCCCGGGCUCAACCUGGGAACGGCAUCCGGAACUGUCAAGCUAGAGUGCAGGAGAGGAAGGUAGAAUUCCCGGUGUAGCGGUGAAAUGCGUAGAGAUCGGGAGGAAUACCAGUGGCGAAGGCGGCCUUCUGGACUGACACUGACACUGAGGUGCGAAAGCGUGGGUAGCAAACAGGAUUAGAUACCCCAGUAGUC